AAACAUAAAUAACACACGAACUGUAUAUAGACACACACACAGACACAGACGACAAAGGUCCGCAUGAAUACUUCACACCUGAUAACAAUGCCCUUCGCCAACUUCAAAAAGUGACUAAUUAGGACACGUGACUAAGCACAAACAUAUAUAAACACCUUCCUCUAGCUCAUGCAUGACGGGAUACUCAAUAGCAUAAAUGUUCUUUCUGAUAUUUCGAUAAACAAUAAACAAGGGAAGACAACUUUAAGCAGCAAUGAAGACUAUACUUUUGGUCACCUUGCUUGUCUUCGCCUCGCUUUUUGGGGCGCCCGUUGUGGAGUCUCUCUUCAUUGGGAAAUGCUAUAAAAAGUGGGCGGACUGCUCAGGAUGGAACAGGUGGGGCAAGUGGGGCUUCAGUGAAACCUGCCAGGAUGACUGCAGAGCUCUGGGCAAGACUGUGGGCAACUGUGUGCCGUCGCCACACAAUUGUGCAUUGGAUACUCAUGGCUUCCAGUGUCAGUGCUUAGAUCUAUAGAAAGACUUGCAGACGAGAAGGUCCACUUGGAAAAAUAAUUUAGUUGUUUUAGAAAUUCUUUAAACAAAAAAGUCAUAUUUUGACAUCAUCAAUUUGUGUGUAUGAGAGAAAGAAAGGAUGUUGUUGUUUUUAACUUCUAUUGGAGAGUUUCACGACGAUCUAACAGUGGGGAAAGAAGCUAACUUGAACUGUAAAUGUAGCCUAGUAUAAAGAAGAAGAAUUAACCUAGAAAAUUUGAUACUGCAAUUCGUAAAAGGCACAACAAUUAUUUCCCUUGACCAAAGUAUAGCUUAUCAACACUUCCUGCUAUACACUGGAGUCACCAUAAAAAAAAAAGCUUACUAUUUAUAAAUUUUCCGCCAUGAUUGAAAAUCUCCAAAGUUCUUCUAAACUUCAAAAGAAAGAUCUGAGAUUUUAAUUUUGAUACUUUCACAGAGAAAUUCCCGGAUUGAUAGGACAAACAGACAUGAUUAAUGUGUAUAUUUCUUUACUUCUCAUGGUUACAUUGAUUCAGAGAUGUCUACAAACCAAACAUGAGACAUUGAUUCAGGGAUGUCUACAAACCAAACAUGAGACAUUCCAAACACCGUACUUUUUAAAGAAUGUGUUUUUAAGAAUUAAAUAUCUUUGUGUACAUUGUUUAACAAACAUGUUCUGUACUUUGUUAUGUCUUUAAAAAUACACUGUGUCAAGAAUAGAAAAGCUAAAAUAAUCAAAUGAAUCUUGUGAAAACUACUUCUGUCAUGAUGUUCGUUGUAUACAUAUACACAGAAAUGUGAACAGUUGAACCGUGAUUAUUAAUCACCCUCAUGAGUUGAUCGCUAAUGUCUCUUCUGUCCUGAUGAUCAAACUCAAAGUCUGGUACUCACUUACCCUCCAGGUCUACCUGCAGGAUGUUAAACAAUUAAAGGAUCGCUGUUUAUUAUUCUUGGUACCUAUGGAAAAGUUAUAUGUAUCAUGCGACUGUUGGUAUAUGUACCAUGAGACUGUUGGUAUAUGUACCAUGAGACUGUUGUUAUAUGUACCAUGCGACUGUUGGUAUAUGUACCAUGAGACUGUUGGUAUAUGUACCAUGAGACUGUUGGUAUAUGUACCAUGAGACUGUUGGUAUAUGUACCAUGAGACUGUUGGUAUAUGUACCAUGAGACUGUUGGUAUAUGUACCAUGAGACUGUUGGUAUAUGUACCAUGAGACUGUUGGUAUAUGUACCAUGAGACUGUUGGUAUAUGUACCAUGAGACUGUUAGUAAAUGUACCAUGAGACUUGUUAUAUGUACUAUGAGACUGUUGUUAUAUGUACCAUGAGACUGUUGUUAUUACAACUAUUAUUAUUCGUUUCUAUGUUUCGUCUAGUGUCUGUUAUGACUCUUGUAGUAAGAUCUAAUUAAAUCAUGUUUCGAGAUCCUAAAUUUGAAGAAUUAGAAAAUUGUG